GCGUGUUACUGUAGCGACGAGGGGAAGGGAUAAGGUCCCGAGCGCCGCGUCCAGCAUCCUCUCUCAUCUCCCUUUCCCCUCGCUCGCUUCCUCCUCCCGAGCCCGCAGAUCCCUAGCCGCCUUCUCCCGCAGCACCUCAGCCGCCUCCUCUCGCUCUCCACCCAGCUGCUCGCCACCACUUCGCCGCCUCCUCCUCCCCUGCUCCUCUGACCUCGAAGCCCCAACGCAUGGUUGCCGCCGCCGCUCGUGUCUUUCUUCCCGCAGCCUCCUGCGGGACGAUGCCUCCCCAUCCUCCAUUAGUCGCCGCUGUGGGAUGUGGUUCUGGACCGGUCCCAGGUCGCUGCCGAGGAGCAGAGGAGGACGAUCGUGGGGGGAAGGAGCAGAGGAGGACGUCACUGGGAAGGUGCAGCGAGCCUCCCCAUCCUCCAUUAGCCGCCGCUGUGGGAUGUGGUUCUGGACCGGUCCCAGGUCGCUGCCGAGGAGCAGAGGAGGACGACAGCGAGGGGAAGGAGCAGAGGAGGACGUCACUGGGGAAGGUGCAGCGAGCCCGAAGGUCCAGACGGCGCCCUCGUCAUGUGCCGGAUGCUGCUCGCCAGCCCUCUUUGUCGUCCUCAAUCUAGCAAGAUGUGUGAAGAUCCGAGACAGAAAAGAGGAGGAAGAAUUUUGACGAAGAGUUCGGUGAUGGGGAACAUGUGAACUCUCUCUCAGCCACGUCUUUUCCUGCUACAGUUUGAUCUUGAUGUUAUGGUUGAUUCUACCCCUGAUGUGGCCUAAUUCUUUCUUUGUCACCCUUUUGAUAUGUGUUAUCAAAGUUAGUGAUUGGAGUUUCUCUGUUAUGUCAGUACACAUUGCUACUUUCAGGUUGUUUAAUUACUUUAUAUGAAACACAUUGACAUUAUAUGGAAAAGAGGCAUAUAUAUGAUUCUCUGUGUAUUUGCAAUGUCGUGACUGCAGAGGUAUCCUUCUCUCUGUAACAAGUCUAAUUAUUUGCGAAUUGGGUGUGCAUAUGCUUGCGUCUACCUACUCUAUUUGCGCUCAAAUACCAUAUAUGUAUGGACUGGUAGAGGUAAAAGAUAAAUUCAGAGAAAGAUAAAAAGGAAAUGACAUCUAUUCCUGAAUUUAUGUUUCUAUGGUGUCAUGGGUUCAGUUUGUGUUGCACAUUUAUGUGUCAACGACGACUAUCAAACAAGAAAAUUGUUCACCAGCUAUGGCCACCUCCGCGUUUAUCUUUUCAUGGUCAUGGAAAAUGAAAUGUUCAUGAAUCGCCGGUUGCUUUCAGGCCGACACGGGCUGCCGGUCCACCCAGCGCGCGGGUAGCUGUGCAGAUCUCUAAUCGGCACCCUCCCUAUGGCACCGCCCCACAAUGCCGACCAGCAUUGAAUAUGCCAUGGAUCCGCCAAGCAGACGCCUCAGGACGGUCAUCCAGAAUGCUAUCCUGCCUCCAUUCAAGCCCAGGCGCUCUUCACUUGCUUCAUAAUUUCUGAAUAAAUGCAUCUAUGUUCAGUCUGAUUUUAAAUUGCACUGAAACUAGAAAGCAGUGGAUGCCUUGGUGUUAUGUUCCAACAAAAAAUAGGAAGGAAGCAGCAAGUGGAAUAGAACUUGAAGGAUAAAAAAUAUGAGGAAAAUGAAAGCAGCUACCACGCCCAUCUGAAAAGCUAAAAAAUUGGAGAAGGUCCUGAAAGUAAAAAGCAAGAGGUCAAGGAUUCAGUCUGCCAAGUCUUUGUAUGAUUAAAAUUUUAGUGGCUAGCAUAAUUUUUUGUACCAGUAUGUUUCCGACUUUCCGCCUGCAGAUCAACCACAUCUAUGUGUUUGAAAAGAACCCGCUUUCCUCAAAAGAUUGCUACUACCUGCUUCUUUACAACACUUCACGGAUGACUUGUGAUGACACCUGGUAUUAAUUAGUACAGUAGGAACGAUGGGUUUUUCAUCACAUUCUUUGAUGUCAAUCAUUGCAAAGUUGUAACGUACUAAAUCCUAAUAUGCCAAUGCAGCAAAAAAAGUCUUAUUUUUCAGAUUGCACCAAGAAAAAACUGCUUCCAUGGCUUCCUCGGCCUCCCUGUCGUGCUCGAGAUGGAGAUGCCUCCCUGCUUCACCACUACUAGGUACCUCUUCUUCCUCAGCUUCGUCCUCCUCCUAGCAGUGGAUGCUGCAGGCCCAUCUCCCCAAGCACCCCACCCUCGCCAUGGAUUGAGUGGGAGGUCAGUUUGCUCUGAAUCCCUGAGAGUUUUGGUCCUGCAUCUCUUGCUCAAUCAGCGGGCUGAUCUUUGCCGGCGCCGGGGUGACAUCACCAGAACUGCUGCAUCUUCAUCUGGUUUGCUUUAGAUAACGAGAGCAAGGCAAGCAGCUUGCCAAAAACAAAGGUGGAUGCAGAAGGAACAUCACUUGUUGGCUCCCUUGACAGAAAUGCGGAGUUUUACAUGAUUUACGAGGACAUGUCUUCUUGGAUGGAUGUGGAUUAUUUGGUUCCUUUGUGGGAACUGAUAACAUUUUGUUUACAUAUUUACUGCUCGACCGUAUGCCCAUAAGGAUUGUUUGAUCUCUUUUUCUACGCAGACUGCAGGUGUAGGUCCCCUGCUCACUAAGGACAAGGUCAGAUUGCUUUAGGUAUUUUAAGAUGAUUAAUCCUUGAGCACCAUAGUUGAUUGAAAUCAAAUAUGCGGAUCACUUUUCCUUACAAUUAAAAUGAAAUAUGUUGCAAAAUAAAGUGGUGUAUAUUGUGAGACUAUGUACUGUAUGAGUUAUUUGAGUAAUGAUGUGAAAGCAAUGUAUAAACUUGGUGAAUUCACUUCAGUUUACUGAUACUGGUUUAUCAAUAUGUGGCCAUCAAGUGUGAUGUGCAAGUUAUAUAUAUAUUAGGCAUCUAAUGUACUAUGUAUUUACAAACUUUUCUGUGUGUUCCACAGUACCAAGUCGAGCAUCCAAUAACAGAUUCGGUUCUAAUCAAGGAUCACACAUUUCAUGCUUGCACUAUAGUUUAUUUCUCCAUUCAUGCAUUAUCAGUCUUAGUACUUGCUCUUGUGCCUGCCCGGCUUGCUCUAUUACUGACUUUGCCUUCUCUUCCUAAAUAGCAGACCUGGUUUUCUUUAUGUCCUUGAAGCAAAUACCACAAUGUUAGCUUGAAAGUAUUUAGGAUACAUACAGAGCCAGAAGGUAAAUAAGGGAUUUGACAAAAAGAGUACACACUGAUUUUAGGUGCUGCACUUCAGAAGCAAUCCCCUCCUUUACCCCCACAGGCUCCUACAGGCAAAUCAACCUGCAGUCAGCAUAUUUUUAUAUUUGUUGCUUGGAACAACAAGCUGAAUCAACUGAAUUACUCACGUUAUGGCAGGUCUUGGUGUACAAGACUGCAACCACUAAUAAAAAAUAAAAUAUCAUGUUAGACAGCUAUUUAUCUAUAGUAGAUACACUACAGUGCAAUUGAUGCAUCGGUCUCACGAAACGAUGUUGUGCUGGGUCUCAUAGGAUCACUUGCGUUUUGAUCGAAUUUCUAUGAAGCCUACAAACUAGGAUCACUUUUUUUUCGAGAAAACACAAAGGACCUUUGCAUUUCAUUUCAUGGAAAAGGUAGAACAGACCUCCUAGGAGGUGAGCGGUACAGUGUCAUGCAUCCUAUCAAUGGACAUCCCAGGUUGUGGGCAGGACAACCCGAAACCCCUGGGCUCCAGCGUUUUCCCAACGUUCGGGUCUCAUCUUUGAUCCUAUCCACUAACGGUUCGAUGGACGGCGUGGCGUAGUCGAAGACACAUGCGUGCAGAUCACUCUUAUUUUCUCACACGAAGCAUUUCAAGCCGAUGAGCUGUAGUUGUAGUUCUUUUCAAACUGCCAUGAUUUUAACCAAAAGUUUAGUACAGGUGCAGAUUCUAAUUUGUGUGAUAAGUUUAUGACAUUUUUGUCUUGCAUGUUUAUUUAUAGCUAAUAUCUCUUAUUGCAAUUCGUAGGAUCAGAAUCGGGACAUGAAUCUGAACUAUGAUAUUUGGAUUUACGAUCUCAUUCAUGGAAAUUGUGCAAGAUAAUGAGCAACAGACAUUAUUUCAUCCCAGUGAAGCUCCAGUACAUGAUUGUACACCUCCUAUGCCCGCUUAAUUGUGUGUUCAUUUUGUUAAUCAAGAAGCAUUUGAUUUUAUGGCUGGCGCGACUGCUUCGUGUGCUGCCUCGAGUCGCGCGGCCACUACGCCCGCGCCGAGUCGGAGGCCGCUGCCACUCUCGACGCCCUCCGCUGCGCGCUCUCGCCGGCGGCGUUCGCAAAGCCUUGUCGCGGCGCUGCAAGUGUUGCCCCCCUCCUCCCCAAGGGCAAGGUGAAGGAAGGUGCCUGUGUGGUUCUUCUGCAGCUCGCAGCGAGGAUUGCUGUGUCCAACCUGCACAAGAAUGCCAAGAAGUCCUCGGAGACGAUUAAGGACACAUACCUGUACUACAACGAGAGAUAUCUGGGCUGCUUCUUUGUGGCUUCCAAACAUGAAAUGUUUGUUUGGAAGUUAGUUUAGUUUUUUGUUGUGGAUUCACAGCUUCUCACAUGUACCAUCGUUUUAGACCUUUAGGUUUCGAAAGAAACUAAAUGAAGAUACGGUGGUAUGGUCUCAAUAGUACAACUUAAAGCCUUCAAAGCUUUAUAUUUUCUCUGAAAUUUGCUCUUGAAGAAUUAUGUAUCUAUGUUAGAUCUGGUGAGUAAAGACGGCUUCCAAGCAGAGGAUGCGGGAGUGUUGGCCACAUUUGGUUUUC